GAUGAACGCUGGCGGCGUGCCUAAUACAUGCAAGUCGAACGCUGAAGCUUGGUGCUUGCACCGAGCGGAUGAGUUGCGAACGGGUGAGUAACGCGUAGGUAACCUGCCUCUUAGCGGGGGAUAACUAUUGGAAACGAUAGCUAAUACCGCAUAAAAGUCGAUAUCGCAUGAUAUUGAUUUGAAAGGUGCAAAUGCAUCACUAAGAGAUGGACCUGCGUUGUAUUAGCUAGUUGGUUAGGUAACGGCUCACCAAGGCGACGAUACAUAGCCGACCUGAGAGGGGGAUGGGCAACACUGGAAAUGAGAAGCGGGCCGGGCUCCUAGGGGAGGCAGAAGUAGGGAAUGUUCGGAAAGGGGAGAAAGCCUGACGGAGCAACGACGCGUGAGUGAGGAAGGUCUUCGGAUCGUAAAACUCUGUGAGUAGGGAAGAACAAAUGGGUAAGUAACUAUGCACGUCGGGACGGUACCUAAUCAGAGAGCCACGGCUAACUACGUG
rnacentral:rRNA from 1 species